rnacentral:lncRNA from 1 species
AUUGGAUCCAACAUAAAUUAUGACAGGUGAAUGUUCAUUAAAUGUAGAAUUGAUGACAUUCUAAAAGAAAUUGGAUGUAAAUCAGGUUUUAUUUAAUUGACAAUAUUCCUCUGUUGUAGAAUAUAGGACUAUCCCUGGUACCUGGCCUGCUGAAACUCAGAGAGUCCUGGAGCCUCUAGAUCAGCUAGAAGGACCUUGGAGGAGACAGGAAUUCUUGCUCCCCGACACAGGCAAGUGCAAAAACCCAAGACCAGAGGCAGCGACCUUAAAACUACCCACAAGAUUAGGCAGCUGCUUUCAAAUAGACUCUUCAAGCGCGCCGUAACC